GCCCGCUACAGAAACUUAAAGGAAGUUGACGGGGCCCGGCACAAGCGGUGGAGGUAUGUGGUUAAUUCGAUGCAACGCGAAGAACCUUACCUGGUCUUGACAUCCCGGAGACCCUUAGGAAACUAGGGGGUGCUUCCAUCUGGAAGAAUCUGGAGACAGGUGCUGCAUGGCUGUCGUCAGCUCGUGUCGUGAGAUGUUGGGUUAAGUCCCGCAACGAGCGCAACCCUUGCCUUUAGUUGCCAGCAGUUCGGCUGGGCACUCUAAAGGGACUGCCGGUGUUAAACCGGAGGAAGGUGGGGAUGACGUCAAGUCCUCAUGGCCUUUAUGACCAGGGCUACACACGUACUACAAUGGCCGAUACAAAGGGCAGCGACACUGCGAGGUGAAGCCAAUCCCGUAAAAUCGGUCUCAGUCCGGAUUGGAGUCUGCAACUCGACUCCAUGAAGUUGGAAUCGCUAGUAAUCGUGGAUCAGCAUGCCACGGUGAAUACGUUCCCGGGCCUU
rnacentral:rRNA from 1 species